AGAGUUUGAUCAUGGCUCAGAUUGAACGCUGGCGGCAGGCCUAACACAUGCAAGUCGAGCGGUAGCACAGAGAGCUUGCUCUCGGGUGACGAGCGGCGGACGGGUGAGUAAUGUCUGGGAAACUGCCUGAUGGAGGGGGAUAACUACUGGAAACGGUAGCUAAUACCGCAUAAUGUCGCAAGACCAAAGUGGGGGACCUUCGGGCCUCAUGCCAUCAGAUGUGCCCAGAUGGGAUUAGCUAGUAGGUGGGGUAAUGGCUCACCUAGGCGACGAUCCCUAGCUGGUCUGAGAGGAUGACCAGCCACACUGGAACUGAGACACGGUCCAGACUCCUACGGGAGGCAGCAGUGGGGAAUAUUGCACAAUGGGCGCAAGCCUGAUGCAGCCAUGCCGCGUGUGUGAAGAAGGCCUUCGGGUUGUAAAGCACUUUCAGCGGGGAGGAAGGCGAUAAGGUUAAUAACCUUGUCGAUUGACGUUACCCGCAGAAGAAGCACCGGCUAACUCCGUGCCAGCAGCCGCGGUAAUACGGAGGGUGCAAGCGUUAAUCGGAAUUACUGGGCGUAAAGCGCACGCAGGCGGUCUGUCAAGUCGGAUGUGAAAUCCCCGGGCUCAACCUGGGAACUGCAUUCGAAACUGGCAGGCUAGAGUCUUGUAGAGGGGGGUAGAAUUCCAGGUGUAGCGGUGAAAUGCGUAGAGAUCUGGAGGAAUACCGGUGGCGAAGGCGGCCCCCUGGACAAAGACUGACGCUCAGGUGCGAAAGCGUGGGGAGCAAACAGGAUUAGAUACCCUGGUAGUCCACGCCGUAAACGAUGUCGAUUUGGAGGUUGUGCCCUUGAGGCGUGGCUUCCGGAGCUAACGCGUUAAAUCGACCGCCUGGGGAGUACGGCCGCAAGGUUAAAACUCAAAUGAAUUGACGGGGGCCCGCACAAGCGGUGGAGCAUGUGGUUUAAUUCGAUGCAACGCGAAGAACCUUACCUGGUCUUGACAUCCACAGAACUUUCCAGAGAUGGAUUGGUGCCUUCGGGAACUGUGAGACAGGUGCUGCAUGGCUGUCGUCAGCUCGUGUUGUGAAAUGUUGGGUUAAGUCCCGCAACGAGCGCAACCCUUAUCCUUUGUUGCCAGCGGU
rnacentral:rRNA from 1 species